GACGAACGCUGGCGGCGUGCUUAACACAUGCAAGUCGAACGGAAAGGCCCUGCUUUUGUGGGGUGCUCGAGUGGCGAACGGGUGAUUAACACGUGAGUAACCUGCCCUUGACUUUGGGAUAACUUCAGGAAACUUGGGCUAAUACCGGAUAGGAGCUCCUGCUGCAUGGUGGGGGUUGGAAAGUUUCGGCGGUUGGGGAUGGACUCGGGGCUUAUCAGCUUGUUGGUGGGGUAGUGGCUUACCAAGGCUUUGACGGGUAGCUGGCCUGAGAGGGUGACCGGACACAUUGGGACUGAGAUACGGCACAGACUCAUACGGGAGGCAGCAGUGGGGAAUAUUGCACAAUGGGCGGAAGCCUGAUGCAGCAACGCCGCGUGCGGGAUGACGGCCUUCGGGUUGUAAACCGCUUUCGCCUGUGACGAAGCGUGAGUGACGGUAAUGGGUAAAGAAGCACCGGCUAACUACGUG
rnacentral:rRNA from 1 species